rnacentral:misc_RNA from 1 species
AUGAUUGGCCUCAGGGCCUUAUCGAUUAUUAAUCCCAACACCUCUGUGAACCGUUUUCGGCCCUCGGGCUGAUCUUUUACAAUACAAACAUUGUGUAAUGAGCCGUCUUGUUAUCUUAACAAAAC